CCUACGGGCGGCAGCAGUGGGGAAUAUUGGACAAUGGGCGAAAGCCUGAUCCAGCCAUGCCGCGUGUGUGAAGAAGGCCUUCGGGUUGUAAAGCACUUUCAGUGGGGAAGAAAGCCUUGGGGCUAAUACCCUCGAGGAAGGACAUCACCCACAGAAGAAGCACCGGCUAACUCCGUGCCAGCAGCCGCGGUAAUACGGAGGGUGCGAGCGUUAAUCGGAAUUACUGGGCGUAAAGCGCGCGUAGGCGGUCUGUUAAGCCGGUUGUGAAAGCCCCGGGCUCAACCUGGGAACGGCAUCCGGAACUGUCAGGCUAGAGUGCAGGAGAGGAAGGUAGAAUUCCCGGUGUAGCGGUGAAAUGCGUAGAGAUCGGGAGGAAUACCAGUGGCGAAGGCGGCCUUCUGGACUGACACUGACGCUGAGGUGCGAAAGCGUGGGUAGCAAACAGGAUUAGAUACCCCAGUAGUC
rnacentral:rRNA from 1 species